rnacentral:rRNA from 1 species
UACGAGGGGGGCGAGCGUUGUUCGGAAUUAUUGGGCGUAAAGGGUGCGUAGGCGGUUUGGUAAGUCUCUUGUGAAAUCUAUGGGCUCAACUCAUAGUCUGCAAGGGAAACUGCCGGGCUUGAGUGCGGGAGAGGUGAGUGGAAUUUCCGGUGUAGCGGUGAAAUGCGUAGAUAUCGGAAGGAACACCUGUGGCGAAAGCGGCUCACUGGACCACAACUGACGCUGAUGCACGAAAGCUAGGGGAGCAAACAGG